AGUGAACGCUGGCGGUAGGCCUAACACAUGCAAAUCGAACGGCAGCACAGAGGAGCUUGCUCCUUGGGUGGCGAGUGGCGGACGGGUGAGGAAUACAUCGGAAUCUACUCUGUCGUGGGGGAUAACGUAGGGAAACUUACUCUAAUACCGCAUACGACCUACGGGUGAAAGCAGGGGAUCUUCGGACCUUGCGCGAUUGAAUGAGCCGAUGUCGGAUUAGCUAGUUGGCGGGGUAAAGGCCCACCAGGGCGACGGUCCGUAGCUGGUCUGAGAGGAUGGUCAGCCACACUGGAACUGAGACACGGACCAGACUCCUACAGGAGGAAGCAGUGGGUAAUAUUGGACAAUGGGCGCAAGCCUGAUCCAGCCAUACCGCGUGGGUGAAGAAGGCCGUCGGGUUGUAAAGCCCUUUUGUUGGGAAAGAAAUCCAGCUGGCUAAUACCCGGUUGGGAUGACGGUACCCAAAGAAUAAGCACCGGCUAACUUCGUGCCAGCCGCCGCAGUAA
rnacentral:rRNA from 1 species